rnacentral:rRNA from 1 species
GACGAACGCUGGCGGCGUGCUUAACACAUGCAAGUCGAACGGAAAGGCCCUGCUUUUGUGGGGUGCUCGAGUGGCGAACGGGUGAGUAACACGUGAGUAACCUGCCCUUGACUUUGGGAUAACUUCAGGAAACUGGGGCUAAUACCGGAUAGGAGCUCCUGCUGCAUGGUGGGGGUUGGAAAGUUUCGGCGGUUGGGGAUGGACUCGCGGCUUAUCAGCUUGUUGGUGGGGUAGUGGCUUACCAAGGCUUUGACGGGUAGCCGGCCUGAGAGGGUGACCGGCCACACUGGGACUGAGAUACGGCCCAGACUCCUACGGGAGGCAGCAGUGGGGAAUAUUGCACAAUGGGAGGAAUCCUGAAGCAGCAACGCCGCGUGCGGGAUGACGGCCUUCGGGUUGUAAGCCGCGUUCGCCUGUGACGAAGCGUGAGUGACGGUAAUGGGUAAAGAAGCACGGGCUAACUACGUG